rnacentral:rRNA from 1 species
GACGAACGCUGGCGGCGUGCUUAACACAUGCAAGUCGAACGGUGAACCUCUUCGGAGGGGAUCAGUGGCGAACGGGUGAGUAACACGUGGGCAACCUGCCCCCGGCUCUGGGAUAACUCCAAGAAAUUGGGGCUAAUACCGGAUGUUCACCGCUUCCCGCAUGGGUGGUGGUGGAAAGGGUUUCCGGCUGGGGAUGGGCCCGCGGCCUAUCAGCUUGUUGGUGGGGUAGUGGCCUACCAAGGCGACGACGGGUAGCCGGCCUGAGAGGGUGACCGGCCACACUGGGACUGAGACACGGCCCAGACUCCUACGGGAGGCAGCAGUGGGGAAUAUUGCGCAAUGGGCGGAAGCCUGACGCAGCGACGCCGCGUGGGGGAUGACGGCCCUCGGGUUGUAAACCUCUUUCAGCAGGGACGAAGCGCAAGUGACGGUACCUGCAGAAGAAGCACCGGCCAACUACGUG